GUGAGGAAUAUUGGUCAAUGGGCGCAGGCCUGAACCAGCCAAGUAGCGUGAAGGAUGACUGCCCUAUGGGUUGUAAACUUCUUUUAUAAAGGAAUAAAGUCGGGUAUGUAUACCCGUUUGCAUGUACUUUAUGAAUAAGGAUCGGCUAACUCCGUGCCAGCAGCCGCGGUAAUACGGAGGAUCCGAGCGUUAUCCGGAUUUAUUGGGUUUAAAGGGAGCGUAGAUGGAUGUUUAAGUCAGUUGUGAAAGUUUGCGGCUCAACCGUAAAAUUGCAGUUGAUACUGGAUAUCUUGAGUGCAGUUGAGGCAGGCGGAAUUCGUGGUGUAGCGGUGAAAUGCUUAGAUAUCACGAAGAACUCCGAUUGCGAAGGCAGCCUGCUAAGCUGCAACUGACAUUGAGGCUCGAAAGUGUGGGUAUCAAACAGGAUUAGAAACCCUUGUAGUCC
rnacentral:rRNA from 1 species